CCUACGAGAGGCAGCAGUGAGGAAUAUUGGUCAAUGGGCGCGAGCCUGAACCAGCCAAGUAGCGUGAAGGAUGACUGCCCUACGGGUUGUAAACUUCUUUUAUAAAGGAAUAAAGUGAGGCACGUGUGCCUUUUUGUAUGUACUUUAUGAAUAAGGAUCGGCUAACUCCGUUCCAGCAGCCGCGGUAAUACGGAGGAUCCGAGAGUUAUCCGGAUUUAUUGGGUUUAAAGGGAGCGUAGAUGGGUUGUUAAGUCAGUUGUGAAAGUUUGCGGCUCAACCGUAAAAUUGCAAUUGAUACUGGCAGUCUUGAGGACAGUUGAGGUAGGCGGAAUUCGUGGUGUAGCGGUGAAAUGCUUAGAUAUCACGAAGAACUCCGAUUGCGAAGGCAGCUUACUAAACUGCCACUGACAUUGAUGCUCGAAAGUGUGGGUAUCAAACAGGAUUAGAUACCCGAGUAGUC
rnacentral:rRNA from 1 species